rnacentral:lncRNA from 1 species
GAGAAUGGGAAAGUGGGCCACAGAGCUACCAGAACAUGUCAUUAACUUUGUUCUGAGGAGUGCCAUAAAAUCACAAGUAUUAGCAGAUUUUGUCGCAUAGUGGACACUAGUUGUUGACGGCAGUUAGCACACCAGUUUGAACCGCAAGCGCACGAAUCAGUUGUAGCUUUUCCCUUAGAGUACUCCCCCAAGGUUUAUCAAUCCGUGAAAACAAGGUCACAUGAUCUAGACUAACUAAGCAUUAAGAAACAUGAUUCGAGUUGCAAAGUGAUUGUGAAUAGGUAUGAAUAGACAUGGAUAGAUAAGAAGCAUGAGCAGAUAUGAAGAAGAGGUAACUCAUAUAGAGUAAAGCCUAAACUAUGCAUAUGUUGUAGUUCUAGCUAGAUGGCAAGCAGACACAUGGUUCUCAUUCAAAGCAUCUUUAGACCACCACCUCCGGUCUGACUCCUGAAAAUCCCCACCUUACACAACAUCAAAUCCUAUCGCGAUCCUACCUACCUAUCAGCGCAAGCAGUCUAAGGGCAUGAACAUAAAGCACAUGUCUAGCUAUUAUGAUAGAUCAGACAUGCAAUUCUAGUCACCAUGACCACAAGAACACCCUAUGCAAUCAACUACGUAAAUAGAUUGAAAUAAGCAAACUCAUAAUAGUAGAAAUCAUAAAAGGAGACAUAUAGAUCGCUAUUGAACCGGAACCAAUGUAUUACUUCACCAUGAAUGAUUGUUCAAAAGAAGAUCUCCACCGAGGCCAUACCCAUGACUUGUGAAUCCUAGCUCUAGAACUCCAGCAUGGAUCUUCCUCCCAGGGUGAUCAUGACAGCCAGAGCCUAGCCAAAGCUAGCCUCCGGACAACUGCACGGCUCUCAGCUCUCUAUAGAUGGUUGUCCCUCAAGUCCGUCGGCUUCUUCUACUUCAAAUCUGACUCUCCCUCUUGGAGGUACCUUUGGGGUCAUAUUUAUAACCUUGGGAAGCCUUGGGGUGUGCUCCACCUUCCCUUGCAUGAGCUCCUUGCUUGAGAGUUAAGAAACCUUGAUUUCUAUAAAAUCAGACUCGCCCAAAAUUUCCUUUUACGUAGUUGUUCCUUCCUGACAUCAUAUCUCCUGUGUACGGACUCCAAAUAGGGCAAACCUGGUGCCUACAUUGUGUAGCACCAAAA